AGCGCGGCCGGCGGCGGGACCCGAUCCCCGGACACCUGGGCGCUGCGCCCCCAGGGGCUGGAUUCUGCCGUCGCCGACUCCAGCUUCUCCGAGGAGCCUGAGGGGCUACAGAGACCGCUCACGUUGGUGUGCAGGUGUGCCCACCCCCAGAGAGGCGUUUGGGGGUGCGGGUGGCGGAGGCCGCGCCCUCUCCGUCUGUUAGGUUUCAGUCCCCACACUCGGGAGACCAGGGGCAUCUGUCGUUUGCUCGCUGCAUGCUCCCAAUGCGGGGGACAGCGCCCGACAGCCCAUUCGCUGAAAUGUCUGCACCGAGCCGGCGGAGUCAACCAACCGGGGACACGAAGUGGGAAACGAGGGACACCAGUCAUUGCAGUCAGGGCCCACCCUCCUCCAGUCUGACCUUGACCUAGUGAUGUCUGCAAAGACCCUGGUUUUUGAAUAGGACCACAUUUCGAGCUUCCGAGUGGAUGUGAUUUGGAGAGGACACCAUUCCAAACCCUGUGCGUCCGGGAACGGGACCGGGGAGCCCCUGUGCACCUGUUCCCCAGCAGGAGGAGGCCGCACCACCAGUAUCCUUUCCUGAAGUCUCCUUUCUGCUUCAGGGCAUCGUGAGGUCCGUAGGAAUACUGUGCACGGGAGGUCCAGUUGCCACAGGCACAGAUGUCCUCACUUCCAGCGUCUGUCGUUAGAGUGCUACGAUUGUUACUGCCCGCGGACACCGUGGAGACCAUCUUACCGGGUGCACAGCGCUGUGCACCCGGGGGCCCUGACAACGUUGAAGGGACGCGUCUAGCACCACACCCCACCUUCCAGUGACAUUCCCCAGCACGCGGGCUCCCGUCCGGCCCCGGCAGCCCUCGGGGAUGGCCGCACGCAGACCGUCCUGUACAGAAGGUCCCCUUCCAGGCCCUCCUCCCACUUUGUAUACCAAUGGCACCUGUAACUUGCAACAGCAGUUUCGUUUUUUUUUUUCUCUAGUAAAACAAAAAGCUGGAGGGGCUCCUGGGCGGCUCAGUCUCUUAAGGGUCCAACUUCGGCUCAGGUCAUGAUCUUACAGCUCAUGAGUUCGAGCC